GAAUAGGGUUUCUUAUGAGAUUGGGUCUCCAAUCUGGAGAGAGACUGAGGGUUGAUGUGGUGACCAGUGGAUGCUGUUUGAACUGGGCUUUGCCAGACCCCAUUGCUUAGAAAGUUCUCUCCCUUAGUAACAAGGAUCCCUGAGAGAACAGGUCCUCUAGUCCAAUUCUGUGAGGCCAAGUCCAUUCUGUGAGGCCAAGUCUCCCGUACAGGUUGUAAGACCCUUCAGUUCCCUGUCAACAAACACACUCUUCCCAGGAUUGCUGAGAAGCUGCAGCUUGGGGGCCUUCAAGGCUGAUGAAGAUGGGCCAUAGGCUUGAGCCUACCCUAAGACGAGACAUCUAAUGACAGAUCUUGGGAGAACUGUGCCAUCAGAGCCUGAGAGCACCCAUAGACACCACCAGAUCAGCCAGCCACCAUGCCUGGCCAGGAGUCACUCUUCAGCAA
rnacentral:lncRNA from 10 species